rnacentral:rRNA from 1 species
GACGAACGCUGGCGGCGUGCUUAACACAUGCAAGUCGAACGGAAAGGCCCUGCUUUUGUGGGGUGCUCGAGUGGCGAACGGGUGAGUAACACGUGAGUAACCUGCCCUUGACUUUGGGAUAACUUCAGGAAACUGGGGCUAAUACCGGAUAGGAGCUCCUGCUGCAUGGUGGGGGUUGGAAAGUUUCGGCGGUUGGGGAUGGACUCGCGGCUUAUCAGCUUGUUGGUGGGGUAGUGGCUUACCAAGGCUUUGACGGGUAGCCGGCCUGAGAGGGUGACCGGCCACAUUGGGACUAAGAUACGGCCCAGAGUCCUACGGGAGGCAGCAGUGGGGAAUAUUGCACAAUGGGCGGAAGCCUGAUGCAACAACGCCGCGUGCGGGAUGACGGCCUUCGGGUUGUAAACCGCUUUCGCCUGUGACGAAGCGUGAGUGACGGUAAUGGGUAAAGAAGCACCGGCUAACUACGUG